GAUGAACGCUGGCGGCGUGCCUAAUACAUGCAAGUCGAGCGAACGGACGAGAAGCUUGCUUCUCUGAUGUUAGCGGCGGACGGGUGAGUAACACGUGGAUAACCUACCUAUAAGACUGGGAUAACUUCGGGAAACCGGAGCUAAUACCGGAUGAUAUUUUGAACCGCAUGGUUCAAAAGUGAAAGACGGUCUUGCUGUCACUUAUAGAUGGAUCCGCGCUGCAUUAGCUAGUUGGUAAGGUAACGGCUUACCAAGGCAACGAUGCAUAGCCGACCUGAGAGGGUGAUCGGCCACACUGGAACUGAGACACGGUCCAGACUCCUACGGGAGGCAGCAGUAGGGAAUCUUCCGCAAUGGGCGAAAGCCUGACGGAGCAACGCCGCGUGAGUGGUGAAGGUCUUCGGAUCGUAAAACUCUGUUAUUAGGGAUGAACAUAUGUGUAAGUAACUGUGCACAUCUUGACGGUACCUAAUCAGAAAGCCACGGCUAACUACGUG
rnacentral:rRNA from 1 species